AGAGUUUGAUCAUGGCUCAGAUUGAACGCUGGCGGCAUGCCUUACACAUGCAAGUCGAACGCGAAAGGGGGCAACCCCGAGUAGAGUGGCGAACGGGUGAGCAAUACAUCGGAACGUGUCCUGUAGCGGGGGACAACCUCGAGAAAUCGAGGCUAAUACCGCAUACGAUCUACGGAUGAAAGUGGGGGACCGCAAGGCCCCACACUAUAGGAGCGGCCGAUGCCGGAUUAGCUAGUUGGUGGGGUAAAAGCCUACCAAGGCGACGAUCCGUAGCUGGUUUGAGAGAACGACCAGCCACACUGGGACUGAGACACGGCCCAGACUCCUACGGGAGGCAGCAGUGGGGAAUUUUGGACAAUGGGCGAAAGCCUGAUCCAGCCAUGCCGCGUGAGUGAAGAAGGCCUUCGGGUUGUAAAGCUCUUUCGGCGGGGACGAAAUUGCGCGGGGUAACAUCCCGCGUAGAUGACGGUACCCGAAGAAGAAGGACCGGCUAACUACGUGCCAGCAGCCGCGGUAAUACGUAGGGUCCAAGCGUUAAUCGGAAUUACUGGGCGUAAAGCGUGCGUAGGCGGUCUCGCAAGUCCGAUGUGAAAUCCCCGAGCUUAACUUGGGAACUGCGUUGGAAACUAUGAGGCUAGAGUGCGGCAGAGGGGGGUGGAAUUCCAGGUGUAGCAGUGAAAUGCGUAGAGAUCUGGAGGAACACCGAUGGCGAAGGCAGCCCCCUGGGUUAGCACUGACGCUCAUACACGAAAGCGUGGGGAGCAAACAGGAUUAGAUACCCUAGUAGUCC
rnacentral:rRNA from 1 species